rnacentral:rRNA from 1 species
CCUACGGGAGGCAGCAGUGGGGAAUAUUGGACAAUGGGCGCAAGCCUGAUCCAGCAAUGCCGCGUGUGUGAAGAAGGCCUGCGGGUUGUAAAGCACUUUGAGUGGGGAAGAAAGGCGGGAGGCGAAUACCCUUCGGUUGUGACGUUACCCACAGAACAAGCACCGGCUAACUCCGUGCCAGCAGCCGCGGUAAUACGGAGGGUGCGAGCGUUAAUCGGAAUUACUGGGCGUAAAGCGUGCGUAGGCGGUGAGGUGAGUCGGAUGUGAAAGCCCCGGGCUCAACCUGGGAAUGGCAUUCGAUACUGCCUGGCUCGAGUGUGGUAGAGGGUAGUGGAAUUUCCGGUGUAGCAGUGAAAUGCGUAG